UAUUAGCACGAGUACCAACUGUGCAAACAGUUCGACAUGUGUUUUGAAAAUAUGAUAAAGUUGGCAUUACUGUUUGCCAUAUGGAAAUACUUGUUUUUACUCUCUACAUCUACGCUCUCUCUCUAUCUCUCUCCCUCUUUGUUCUAAGCCACAUGGCUUUUGUUCUGUGUUGUAUUUAACAAAAAUAGCAUGAGUUUUUUCUUUUAUUCGUUAUUUUCUAAACAUGGAGUGAGAGAAGGAGAUGCAAUUAAAGCAGCAGCAACAACAAUUUGUGGAAUGAGAUUUUCCCUUUCAUUUGGAAAAUGAAAACUAGUUUACCACCACCAGCAUUUCCAUAAUUGGUUACAAUGGAAGAUGGAGUGCGCCUUGAUUUAGUAUAAUUCUGGUAGACGAUUAUCGUGUCAUCUUGCAUUUUCAGUUAAAUUGACAAUAAAUGCAUUGCAGGGAA